CCCAGACUCCUACGGGAGGCAGCAGUGGGGGAUAUUGCACAAUGGGGGAAACCCUGAUGCAGCGACGCCGCGUGAGUGAAGAAGUAUUUCGGUAUGUAAAGCUCUAUCAGCAGGGAAGAAAAAAGACGGUACCUGACUAAGAAGCCCCGGCUAACUACGUGCCAGCAGCCGCGGUAAUACGUAGGGGGCAAGCGUUAUCCGGAUUUACUGGGUGUAAAGGGAGCGUAGACGGCAAUACAAGUCGGAAGUGAAAUACCCGGGCUUAACCUGGGAACUGCUUUGGAAACUGUAUGGCUGGAGUGCUGGAGAGGUAAGCGGAAUUCCUAGUGUAGCGGUGAAAUGCGUAGAUAUUAGGAGGAACACCAGUGGCGAAGGCGGCUUACUGGACAGUAACUGACGUUGAGGCUCGAAAGCGUGGGGAGCAAACAGGAUUAGAUACCCUAGUAGUA
rnacentral:rRNA from 1 species